AUGGAGUCCGGCCUCAUCGCAAGCCACCGCCUUCGCCUCCCGGCCCUCCCCUCCGCGGCACAUGCCCACCUCCUCCGCCACCGCCGCCUCGUGGCCACGCCCCUCCGCCUCCCCACCACCCCGACCCCUCUCCGCCAGCCCGCCGCGCUCCCGCUCCGUCCGUGCCUCAGGCCUCCCCGCGCCGCCUCCGUCGCCUCCCCCGCGCCGGUGCCCGGCGAUGCGCCGGACAAUUCCCGCAAGUUCCUCGGCGUGGACGCGCUCACGCUCAAGAAGAUCGUGCCCCUGGGGCUCAUGUUCUUCUGCAUCCUCUUCAACUACACCAUCCUGAGGGACACCAAGGACGUGCUCGUCGUCACCGCCAAGGGGAGCAGCGCCGAGAUCAUCCCCUUCCUCAAGACGUGGGUCAACCUCCCCAUGGCCAUCGGCUUCAUGCUUCUCUACUCCAAGCUCGCCGACGUGCUCUCCAAGGAGGCGCUCUUCUACACCGUCAUCUUCCCCUUCAUCGCCUUCUUCGGCGUCUUCGGGUACGUGCUCUACCCUAUGCGCGACGCCAUCCACCCCACGGCGCUCGCCGACCGCCUCCUCGCGUCGCUCGGCCCCAGCUUUCUGGGGCCCGUCGCCAUCCUCCGCGUGUGGAGUUUCUGCCUCUUCUACGUCAUGGCGGAGCUCUGGGGCAGCGUUGUCAUCUCCGUCCUGUUUUGGGGAUUCGCCAAUCAGAUUACUACGGUUGAAGAGGCUAAAGAGUUUUACCCGCUGUUCGGGCUUGGGGCCAAUGUGGCUCUCAUCUUCUCUGGUCGCACGGUGAAAUACUUCUCAAACAUGAGGCAGAAUUUGGGUCCAGGGGUGGACGGAUGGGCUAUUUCAUUGAAGGGCAUGAUGAGCAUAGUGGUUGUACUGGGUUUCGUCAUUGCCGGUAUCUAUUGGGGAGUGAACAAGUAUGUUAUUGAUAAAACAUCUCUGCCGGUCGAACGGAAGAAGAAGAAUAAGCCAAAGCUUAGCAUGGGGGAGAGUUUGAAGGUGCUGGUAUCAUCUCAAUAUGUGAGGGAUCUUGCCACACUGGUCGUUGCUUAUGGUAUAAGCAUCAACCUUGUAGAGGUGACAUGGAAAUCGAAAUUGAAGGCACAGUUCCCAAGUCCUAACGAGUAUUCUUCAUUCAUGGGUGAUUUCUCAACGGCUACUGGCAUAGCUACGUUUACAAUGAUGUUGUUAGGGAGAUUAAUUCUUAGAAAAUUCGGGUGGGGAGUUGCAGCUACAAUCACCCCUGCAGUGUUGCUUGUCACUGGAGUUGGAUUCUUCUCACUGCUUCUGUUUGGUGAGCCACUCACUCCUCUUCUAGCCACGUUUGGGAUGACGCCUUUGCUUGCGGCGGUCUUCGUUGGGGCACUACAGAACAUUUUCAGUAAGAGUGCAAAGUACAGUUUGUUCGAUCCUUGCAAAGAAAUGGCGUACAUUCCUUUGGAUGAGGACAUGAAGGUCAAAGGCAAGGCAGCAAUAGAUGUGGUAUGCAACCCAUUGGGAAAAUCUGGAGGUGCCCUGAUCCAGCAGUUCAUGAUCUUGUCAUUUGGGUCUCUUGCAAACUCAACGCCGUACCUUGGAGGAAUAUUGCUGGUGAUUGUCAUCGCGUGGUUGGGCGCCGUAAGGUCCCUCGAUUCGCAGUUUUCUCCCCUGGCAAAGCAAGACCUGGAGAGGGAACAGCAGCUGAAAGCAGAGGUAGUAGAAACGACAGCUCAAGUCGUUGGGACAGGAAACGGCUCCCUUCAAGAAAAUGUCGCCAGCCAGAGCUCCACGAACGGUACGGUCAUCAAACAGUCGCAAGAACCCGAGAUUACUGCCCCUGAAAAAUCUGGCAAGCAGUCUUAA
rnacentral:rRNA from 1 species